GACGAACGCUGGCGGCGUGCCUAAUACAUGCAAGUCGAGCGCAGGAAAUCGACGGAACCCUUCGGGGGGAAGUCGACGGAAUGAGCGGCGGACGGGUGAGUAACACGUAAAGAACCUGCCCUCAGGUCUGGGAUAACCACGAGAAAUCGGGGCUAAUACCGGAUGGGUCAUCGGACCGCAUGGUCCGAGGAUGAAAGGCGCUUCGGCGUCGCCUGGGGAUGGCUUUGCGGUGCAUUAGCUAGUUGGUGGGGUAAUGGCCCACCAAGGCGACGAUGCAUAGCCGACCUGGGAGGGGGAUCGGCCACACUGGGACUGAGACACGGCCCAGACGCCUACGGGAGGCAGCAGUAGGGAAUCUUCCACAAUGGACGAAAGUCUGAUGGAGCAACGCCGCGUGAACGAUGAAGGCCUUCGGGUCGUAAAGUUCUGUUGUAAGGGAAGAACAAGUGCCGCAGGCAAUGGCGGCACCUUGACGGUACCUUGCGAGAAAGCCACGGCUAACUACGUGCCAGCAGCCGCCGUAA
rnacentral:rRNA from 1 species